GACUCCUACGGGAGGCAGCAGUGGGGAAUAUUGCACAAUGGGCGCAAGCCUGAUGCAGCCAUGCCGCGUGUGUGAAGAAGGCCUUCGGGUUGUAAAGCACUUUCAGCGAGGAGGAAGGCCAGUGACUUAAUAAGUGGCUGGAUUGACGUUACUCGCAGAAGAAGCACCGGCUAACUCCGUGCCAGCAGCCGCGGUAAUACGG
rnacentral:rRNA from 1 species